rnacentral:misc_RNA from 1 species
GAAAUGCGAUAAGUAAUGUGAAUUGCAGAAUUCCGUGAAUCAUCGAAUCUUUGAACGCACAUUGCGCCCUCUGGUAUUCCGGGGGGGCAUGCCUGUCCGAGCGUCAUUGCGAACCCCUCAAGCACGGCUUGUGUGAUGGGCCCUCCCGCGUCUUGGUCGUCAAGACGGGCCCGAAAUGCAGUGGCGGCUUCGCGGUUAUCCGAUCAGCCAGAGCGUAUGGGGACUCUCUCUCUGUCACACGCCCGCGGCGCGGACCGACGCCUGUCGACCUUUAUUCAUCUCUUCUCGGUUGACCUCGGAUCAGGUAGGGAUACCCGCUGAACUUAAGC